AUCAUACUUUAUUCGCUCCAAAUUAUUUGAUCCAUAUUUAUCUAGACACGGAUGUAUCUAGACAUUAAACAAGUAUAGAUACAUCCGUAUUUAAACAAAUUCAAGUUAACUAAUUUGGAACGGAGGGAGUACUAC
rfam:Triticum urartu cultivar G1812 contig876175, whole genome shotgun sequence.